CAACUAGGAAAGCUCCGACUGUGUAUGGUACCCAGUGUCAUAACAGGUCAUGGACUAUUUAACAAACAUCUUUUUAAAACAGGUGUCACAGACAGUCCCCUAUGCCGUGGAUGCAUGGAGAAGGAAGAAACAGCCUCUCACGUGGUGUUGGAAUGCAGCGGAGUGGCCCCAUACAGGGCAAAACAUCUCGGAUCUCCGAGAGACCUCCCCGAGGUCCUACUCAACAUCAAAGGUUUGGUGGGAUUCCUCGAGGAGCUGGGCUGGCAGGACUAGCCCACCCCC